CUUGUCAUUCAUAACUCCUAUUGGUUGUGUAUCUAAUUGCAAAUCUACUCACUUCGUAUAUAAAUCUCACUUGUUGAUCCUACUUUUGGAUGACUUAAUUUCACCUUUUUUGCUCCUCUCAUGGUCAUCAUAAUUAAGGUAAUCAUCUAUUAGCUCCCUUUUCUUCUCUUGUCAUCAUUAAAGCAAAUUGUAAGUUAAUUUUAACUAAGAAAAUCAAGUGUGCAUUUCUUAAAUUAAUCUAUCCUUAAAGAAGAAUGAAUGAAAUCUUAGUGGGCCUUUUUAAUGAUAUUGGAUUUGGGGAUUUCUUUCAAAAUGGAAGUAUAUUUUGUGUGCUAUGGAGUCAAAAGUUUAUGUUUACAUUGUAACAUAUGUACUUGAAUUUCCACAAAAAUAUUGUAAUAUAGUCGAGAACUUGCUUGGGAGAUUAUCUCCUUUUUUCUAAAGAAGCAAAGCAUGGUUUUUCUAAUCUUAUUAGAUAUGGAGCAUAGCGAUAAAGAAGUCUAUCAUUAGAUGAUGAAUCUUGAAAUUGAUAAUAAAAUAAUAUGGCAUAUAUGCAUGGUAUCCUCUUUAUCAUCUUUGAGAUGUUGGAUUAAACAUGAUUAAAUAAGAUUAUCGGAUAAAGGUAUAUAGGAUGUUGGUAAAUAUUUUCAUGUUAAUUGAAGUUCAUUAUCUAUCGUGAAAGAAAACAUUAUUAACUUCGUUACAAUUAAUUGAAUGAAGUGAGACAAUUAUAAAUUCUUGAUGGUAAAUUUAUUGGUCUAAUUCUUGACAUUGGCCCUAUUUUUUUAAAUUAUUUUUCGUUUGUCAAAAUCACUCAUUAAUUAAUCACAAGAAAAAACAAAAUCAUAACUUAGAGUUGCAUCCCACGAAUCUAACAAUACAAACUUUAAUUUUCUUUAUUCGUUCAUAACUUCCUUUUCUAAAAAAUAAAAAGAGAGAGAUACAUUGGACUGACUGAUGACACCAACCCCACUAAGUUCCGAAUUUUAUUAGGAAAUUUGACCAAGUUAAGCAUUUUCUAAGGUCCCUACUUCUGGAAACAUGGAAGUACAUUUUAGUGCCUUUAAAACAUGUACUUAAUACUGAAACAUGACUGUACGCACAUAUAAUGUAUAAGAAUUUAAUAUAUUUAUUAUAAUUAAAGAAAAAAAGUAGAUGAGACUUUUUUUUAGUUAUCUUAUUUAGAGGUUGUUUGAUAAAUUUUGAUUAAAAAAAAAUAACUAGUUUUGAUAAAAGUUGAUGAAAUGUGGUUGAAAAUUUGAUAAAAUUGUGAGUCUUACAAAAUGUACGAUUAAAUUAAUUAUUGACUUUAAUCUCAAAUUUUUAAUAACUUUUAAGUUAUUCGAAGCAAGCAUUUGAUAUUAUCCAAUAUAACAUUUAUUAGCACUAUUUAUGAACUGGCACAAUUGGUUCGACUUGAGUCUACAUGUCAUUUAGAGAGGGUUGAACCUUUCUUAAAAAGGAUUUUGCUAUUUGUACAUUGGGAUUUAAUGGCUCAAUGUACAGCUCUCUUACAAUAUGGGGUUCGUGCCCAAUAAAAAAAUUGCAAGCCCCCUAUUGUGAGGGGUUGUACAUCAGACUGUCAAACUUGGUUUACUUGAGGCGAAAUCCCUCAAAAAAAUUAUUGAUAUUGAAGUUCAGUUCUCUCUAUCUCUUCUUUUUGUCUCUGCACUUUUACUUGAUAGUAUCAAGAUGGUGUGCGAUACAUAGUUUUCCCACCUUAAAUGAUUACCUAAUGCAUUUAGAGGGACAGAAAAAAUUUAGAGUUGGACCGAAAAUGAAUUUUUAGAUUGGACUAAAUUUUCUAAUCUAAUUUAUGAACUGUCUAAACAGAAAAAGAAAAUUUGGACAAUGUUUAUGAACUAAUUUAUUUAUUUAUUUUUGGGUAGGGUGAGGGCUGUAGCUUGCUUUUGCAAGAGAGGCCCUAUAUGUACAGAAGGAAGGGAAGGGGUUACAAAAAAACUCUCCAGACAAGAUACACAAUAGAGGGGUGGCUUUUUUUUUCUUUUUUUUUUUUUAAUAUUCACGUGGGGCCCACUGUUGAGAAAAAUGUAGCGAAAUCUGGAAACUUAAUGAACUCCAAAACACGAAAAAACGUUAUUUUUUAAGAGAUGUUUCUCCCUUAUCCAACAAACUCACAAUUGGGGUAUGAUAGAAAAUCUCUCUCAGGAUACAAUGGAGACGUCAAAUUGUGACUAUUUGAUCAAAUCAAGAAGACAUUCGAAAAGAACUGAUUGAUGCCAAGAGAAAGAAAGAAGAAUAAUUUUUUUAAUGUGUUUUGCAAACGAGAAUUCGUCCAGAAUUUAUAGAAAAUGAGGCAACCGUUUGAAUAGGUGUGUCCCUUGAAAUCCUUGCGUACAUCUGUUGGAAGUGACUGUUAAAAAAUAACAGAUGCACCUAUUCAAAAACUUUUGAAAAUAAAAUUAUCUUUCGGGGGGCGUCGCCCCCGAGCCCCCACGGGGGGCGCUACCCCCUCGACCCCCGUGAUCUGAUCGGGCAGGUUGAUCCCCGUUGCGCAGCGACAAACACUAGUCCGGACGGCAAGUCAUUCGCAAAACAAAAAAUAAAUAUAUGUAAAAUGAUGAAAAAUAUCUAACACCCACCCCUUGCGAGACUUCUCUAAUAUUUCUGUGAAAAAUGGAUUUCCUCCUUUUGCAAUUAGAGUGUCCAUCCUAAUUGCGUUGUUGUGUAAAACAAAUCCAUCAUUUUCGGGGGGGAAAAAUCAUUUAUCUAAAUCGAUUUCUCAACUCUUUGCUAUAUACUAGAAACUCGAUAUAUUCUCAUAAUUUUUUUGCUUACUUCGAUUUGAGGCAGACAUGCUAAAUUUAACACAUAAUAAAAAGGGAAACUUUCAUAUCUUAAGAGAUCAAGUAAGAAACAUUUCAAAAAUAAAAAAUAACAUUUAAAACUUCAAAAAUCGGAUAGUAAUUAUAUUCUAUUUUAUGAAAUAAUUAAUUAAAUAUAUUAAGGUCAAAAUUCUAUAAUAUUUUGGUCACAAAUUAUCAAAUUAAUUGGUCUUAAUUAUUUCUCGGUCAUGAAUCAAAAAAUUUAUAGAUUACAAUUUGUUCAUCAAGCACAAAUCACAAAUUUCAUAAGUCGCAAUUCAAAUUUUUAAGUCACAUAUUAUUUAUUGGUCAUAAUUUAUCGAUCACAUAUUAUUUAUUGGUCACAAAAUGUCCAAAUCCAAAAUUACCGAUCACCGUCUCAACCACCACCUCACCACACACAAAACUUCAACUAAGCAAGUCAGAGGAAAAAAGCCAACCCAAAACCAUCGCCGCUGCAUACUACCUCCAGCCACCGCACCACCACCACUGGCAUCAUCAUCGCACACACCACCGCACUACCAUAAAUUUUCACUCUUUUGUGUCAAACAAAGAUGUGCAACCGCCAUGAAGACGUGGCGAGUAACAGAUUUGUCGUCACCGUCUUCUUAACAGCUAUGCAGUGGUGAUGUCUGCUUCGAAGUGACAAUGCUGCAGACGUUGGUUGCUUCAAAGCGAUGCCAUUGUGGUGGUGACGUUUUGAGCAUCGCGCCGUGGCAUCUCCAAUGGUAAGGAGAGAAAAGAUAAUGGAGGGAUAUAGAGAGACGAAGGAAAUGAUAGAUAGAGAAAAGAUAGAAGAAAAUGCGUGGUAAUUAGGUUGGUUGGUUAGACAUAUGUGUAUUAAUUUAAUUUUAUAAUAUAUUUACUAAUAUUAAAAUUUUGAAUUAUUAUAAGAUUUUUUAAUAAAAAAAUAUUAAAUUUUAUUUUUGAAUUGUGAAGUUGAAAUAUCUGGGCAGAUGUAAUUUCCACAAACUCUAUUCGUGUUCCAUUAUUUGGAAAAAUCAGGUUUUCUGUAAAAAGUUUAUUUAUAAUCAAUUAAUAAACACUCCCCACUAACAGAUAAACAUGAAGAAAAAAUACAACAAACAUGGUUGUAAAAUAGAUAUAAAUUUUUCACCAAUUAAACCAUUAAUUCGUAAUUAAAUUUUUCGUAGUUGGUAGAUGAAAUCUAACACCUAAAUUAUGUUACAUUUGUAUUUGGUAGAUGAAAUCUACAACUUAAUUUAUUUAUUUAUUUAUUUUUUAUGAUACUUGUGACAUUCAAUUAUUUAGAUGAUUUGUGUGAAGCCUUACGAUGACAUUUCAUAUUCCUUUUUAAAUUGCUACGACACUGACUUUUAAUAUCCCCUUAUAUGUGACAUAUAAUGCGCUGUUUUUAAUACAAACAUGUCUAAUCUAAAUUGGCCGUAGUUUCAAUUUUAUGAUUAUGGUUUCACGUAAACUACGGUUUAAAGAGCCCGUCUGAGUUCUAUUUUUUCCCCAAAAUGGGUUUUAAAAUAGUAUUUUAAUUGAAAAUGUGUGGUUAAAAAAUAACAAAAAGUUCUGGAUUUACGUAAAAUAUUAUUUUGUUGAAAAAUGUAAAGUUAAAAAUAAGAGAGAGAAAAUAUAACUUAAAAAUAAUAUGACCAAACAAGGUCUAGAUGAUGACUUCAUAUGUAAAAAUUAAGGUUUACAUAGAUGAGAUAUUGUUUUCCUUUUUAGGAUUUUCUAUUUCUCCAAAUUAAGCUCUUCACGUCUUAAUGUUUGUUGUGUCGACUUGAUCAUUCAUAAAUGAAGACAGAAUAAAACAUCCACAAUAAUGCUAAUAUUUUGUCCGAGAAAUUCCUGAUAUUACCGAAAAUAUAGCAAGAAAUACACUAGAUGAAAUUAGUCUUUUGGGUUGGAUUUUAAUUGCUGGAUUUGGAUUUGAAUGAAAUUGAGUUGGAUUUGUGUUUGGAUGAAUAUUUGGGUUACGUCCCUAAGAAUGGAAAACAAAAAUAAGAAUUAAAUUUAUCUAGUUGGAUAAGUUCAUAUAUCUUUUGAAUUAGAUGCAAAUUAAGAAUUAAUUUAAAUAUGGCAUAAUAUUCUUAAAUUUUUAGUCCCAAGUUUUAUGGUUGGGCAAAAAACAUAGAAAAAUCAAUCAAAUCAAUCAAACCGAACUAAUUGGGGUCAAUUCGGGUCGGUUUGACACAAGUAAUUGAUUUGGUUUGGUUGCCUCGAACUAUUGAUUAAUUAAACAAAUCCAACCUACUUACAUAUUUACAUUUUUUUAAGAAAAAUAAAAAUCACUACUAUAUUAAAAGAGCCAAUAUGUCAUUUACUAUUCAUUUUUGAAAUAUUUUCAUUCCCAUUUUGUUCUCAAAUAAUUAACAAAAUCUCUACUCUUUUUCAAUAUGCCAUUUACUAUUCAUUUUUGAAAUAUUUUCAUUUCCCAUUUUGUCCUCAAACAACCAACAAAAUCUUUACUCUUUUGAUCAAUCACUACUCUCACUACUAUCUUCAAAUAGCGAACCAGCUGGUUAUUGUUCAUUCAGGACAUAUUUAGGGGUUUUCCACUUUACCCUCAACUCCCUCGCACAAUAACUCUCACACUAAAGGUCUAAUGGCCUUUUUGUAUGUAGAUAAAAUAACAAAAAGUAAAAAAUAGUGUGUUACCUAAAGGAUUUGAUUCCACUUUUUGCCUGAUUUGAAUUUUUACGUCUAAAAAAAAAGGUUGAUUUCAU
rnacentral:lncRNA from 1 species